ACAGAUUGACUUCACGAAGUGCUACUCAAUCACUGAAGAAACACAUUGAAGAACCUGGUCCUAAGUAUAGAAUCCAGCUAAGAGUUUUAUAGUUGAUUAUCAGAGUUGUUCAUUGUGUUUGAACUAUUGAUGUAAUAUUAGUUUCAGUGAGUUAUAAACUGAACUAGGAGCUAGUCUUCGAGUUGAGGAAAACUCAAAAACUUUGGAAACGCAUACCUUGGGAG
rnacentral:lncRNA from 1 species